rnacentral:lncRNA from 1 species
GAGAGGAGAGAACAGGAGAGGAGAGGAGAGGAGAGGAGAGGACAGGGUUUCUCUGUGUAGCCCUAGCUGUCCUGGAUCUCACUCUGUAGACCAGGCUAGCCUUGAACUCAGAGAGCCACCUGCCUCCGCCUCUGCCUCCUGAAUGCUGAUAUCAAAGGCGCCACCACUGCCUGACUGAUCUUAAAGUUAACCAGGAGCUCGGAAUGUACCUGUACAGUGUCUGUCUCUACACAAAGCCCUGGAUUUGACCGCUAGCCCCAGAUAGUCCAGGCAUACUUGUCAUCCCAGCACUUGGGAGACUGACUAGGUGGGAGGAUGAAGGAGAGUUCAAGGCCAGCCUGAGCUACAUACUGAGAACCUGUCUCAAAACGGACGGGAAAGGAGGAAUACCACCUCUGCUGAAGAGACAGGCAUCCACCCAGGAUGAGCCGACCAAACUUUAUGGCAUAAAAGAGCACAGCCAAGAUUGCCUUAUGGCCUUACCCAGAAGUCUUCAGGGUACGAGCCCUCCUACGAUAGGUACUCGUAGGAGACCUGGACCGGCUCAGAGGGUCCAGCGGGUGCCUCACCUGUCAUCAUUCCACCCCCAUCCCACCUCCGUCUCCUCUUCUGCCCUUUCCCUCAGGUCUCAGCCCAGCCUUCUUGUUUUAUCCUAUCCAGGGAGUAGCCAGAUGUCUGCGUUUGGUGUUGCACCCCUGGCAGCUGCCAGUCAACCCAACAGCCUUGCAGAUGUGGGUGGCCUCCUGGAACCCAGGAUGGCUGCUGGAGGUCUCCCUGGCAGUGUUUUCGGGAUGCCCAGCCAGGUUCCUGCCCUACAGUCGGCUGUGCCAGGGGUUGGCGGCAGCACAGGGCUCCCCUUUGGAGGUGAGUCCUACCUGUGGAGACCCAGAAGGGGAGGUGGGAGAAGCACCCCGAGACUGAGAGAACUCAAACCAUCUUUUUCUCUAACCUCUCCCCCCUCCUCUCUCUCUCUCUCUGUGAGCAGCCUUCACCAAUCCCUUCACCACCCCUGCCCAACCCCAGCUGCCUUCCACCAACCCAUUCCAGCCCAAUGGUAUAGCCUCAGGUAAGUCCCCAGAACCGAUUCUACGUUCUUUAGAGUACUGGCUCUCCUCGACCUAUGUCUCUCACUAACCAAAGAGUAGACAGCAUCCUGCUCCUCCCCCACCACUGCCCGCCAACCCAGGACAGUCCCAUCUGCAAAUCCAAGCCACCUAGUGGUCUAAACAUAGAAGCAUCCAUGCCACAAUGAACAGAAAGUCACAGAAAAAGUGCCACGUGGUGCUGUGCCCCUGUAACACCAGUACUGCUGAAGAGAGGAUCAUCACAGGUUCAAGGACAGGCGGGGUACAUGGUAGGGUCCGGGCCAGCCUGGUCUACAUAGUGAGACUCUGUCUCAAAAAGAAAAGAUUUAAAGGAAGAAAGGAAGGAAGUCAAGAAAGAAUUGGGUGAGUGGAGGAGAGGAAGGGAGGGGGAGGGAGGCAUGCCUUUCCCCCAAGUCGGUU